UGCAGUUGUCUCAUUUGAAUCUAGGCUACAAUCAACUCUUUUCAAAAGCUUAAAUCUGGCCAGAAGAUUAAUUCCUAACUUCUGGUUAGCUGCCAUUACUCUUGCCGUUUAAGUUCAUUGUGCUGCAAGGGCAGCUAUAAAAGAAGCCGGGCGGCGGCUUCUUUCAUGGAGUGGCCUAGACUGAGAUGUGUCUAAUUCAACAUUCCAGUUGGAGGAACCAGCUACCAUGCCUGUUGUGAAGGAUCUAUGUGCGCUUGCUUGAUAGCAUUCAGAGGUUCUUGCAGUGGACCAUGAGCACAAAUUGAGGCAAUUCUACUGGCUGGCUAGCUGGAUGAAUUUUAGUUUAUCUACAUGCAUGUAAACUACUCUGAAGUGAGCUAUCUCAGCAAAAGGGGAAAGAGAAAUGCAAUUUCCCAGUGCUCAAUCUGCUUCAAAGUGGUCCAUGUUAUUGAUAAAGCAUGGUUGUUACUUAAAUUACUUUACCUAAUAAAUGAACUAAUAAUGUACAUGUAAUUUGCUCCUGUUCGAAAAUAAAAGACAGCAGAACUUAAAGCAGGAGGCUA